rnacentral:rRNA from 1 species
GAUGAACGCUGGCGGCGUGCCUAAUACAUGCAAGUCGAGCGAACGGACGAGAAGCUUGCUUCUCUGAUGUUAGCGGCGGACGGGUGAGUAACACGUGGAUAACCUACCUAUAAGACUGGAAUAACUUCGGGAAACCGGAGCUAAUACCGGAUGAUAUUUUGAACCGCAUGGUUCAAAAGUGAAAGACGGUCUUGCUGUCACUUAUAGAUGGAUCCGCGCUGCAUUAGCUAGUUGGUAAGGUAACGGCUUACCAAGGCAACGAUGCAUAGCCGACCUGAGAGGGUGAUCGGCCACACUGGAACUGGGACACGGUCCAGACUCCUACGGGAGGCAGCAGUAGGGAAUCUUCCGCAAUGGGCGAAAGCCCGACGGAGCAACGCCGCGUGAGUGAUGAAGGUCUUCGGAUCGUAAAACUCUGUUAUUAGGGAAGAACAUAUGUGUAAGUAACUGUGCACAUCUUGACGGUACCUAAUCAGAAAGCCACGGCUAACUACGUG